CCUCCACCCCGCCUAGGCGCCAUCUCCUCCUCUCCCUCUUCCAAGGCUCGCCCAGCCACCGUUCCCAGCCCCCGCUGCUUCGUCGUCUGCUCCUCCAUUGACGACAGUUUAGGUAAGACAAAGAUGAGUGUCCGAUCUACGCCCUCGCCAGGUUGCAUCCAUUGGUGAGGAGAGGCCGAUCCACGUAUGUGCUGUCGCUGCAGGAUAGCGAAUGUCAGCGAGAAAGGCCGUCAUUGGAGUACGCAGCCGUCUCCCUCUCCGCUUCUCCUGGUGGCACCUCCCUACCGGAGUCCAUUCUUCUUGGCUUUCAACACUGCCUGUUCUUGCUAGGAACUAUUGUUAUAUUACGCUCUGCAGUUGUUCUGCAGAUGGGAGGAAACAAGGAGGAUAAGGCAGUUUUUAUGCAAAUGUUGAUGUUUUUGGCUGGAAUCAACACCCUUCAAAAGAGUUUCUUUGGUUACCUGAUUGCCUGCGGUGAUUGGUGGAUCAUACACCUUUGUUCUACCUACCAUUUCGAUCAUACUUGCGGGACGCUAUGCAGACGAACCAGAUCCACACAUAUUAUAUGUUGAAAAGAAGGGUAAUUCUACUUGCCUCCCAGUAAUCUUUUCCUGCAUGUAAACUGACGAGUCACCUGGAUUUCGUUUUUGAAGGAAUUCCCCAAAAUCUUGCAUGGAGCAAAAGGUGCUUUGAUCGUUGCUUCUGUACUUGGUGAUCUUCUGUACUAUUUAAUAGUUGCUUCAUGUUUCUAUAGGAUACCCCCAUAUGCUACAUGACAACCAUAGUGAGCAUGUCAAAAGUUUAGCAUGCUUAUUAUAAUUCUCUUCUUUGUAAAUUAUUAUACGAAGUUUGCGUUUUGCUUGGUUAACUCCUCUGUGUUCUAUAGACUAUCGUGGUAAAGAGGUUUUUAUCAGGUUAUUCAUUCCCAUACAUUGAACCUAUGGUUCUAACUUUUUCCCAUGAUAAAGAAAAUGGGGUUUACCGCUUUUAAUCAAUAUCUAAUUAAACCAACAAAACAACUACAGUUCCGCCAACAUACCAUUUUUUGCUGGUGGACAUACCAAAUUACUCAUAUGUAUCAUAUUAUGCUGCUUCCCAUAUUGUUUUCUCCCAGGAAUGACAAGGCAUUCAGGUUCUCUUUUUAGCUUUCCUACACAGGAACGUAUUGCAAAAUUAAGAUACAUAACAUUGUUCCACCUACAGGUCUGUCUUAUAUCUACAGGUAUAUCCAUGCAUUCUUUGUUCUUUUUCUUCAGUGAUCUACUGAUCUUCGUGAUUUUGUUUAGUGCUAGAGUUAGCAAAAUUUGUCAUGGAGCAGAUUGUGCUUGACUUCACGUGUGUAUGAUGUAAUAUGAAUUAAUGGUAUCUUUGUGGUUGACUCGGUCAUGUGCCUUUUGUCUGAAUCAAUUGAGAAAAAUCUGAAUAUAUACCUGAAUGUGGUGGUUUCACACAUUCUGAAUGAAGCUACCAAUGAGUACCUUGGUUCUGAAAUCAUGAGCUUUUUACUUCUAUGGAAAGUGAUAAAGUUACAACAUAGUUUGCUCAAAGGCGUGCAUAACUGCAGAUUGAGCAAGGCACAAUCUGAAAAUAAAAUAAAAUAAAAUUAGAAACAGUGUGUGCAUCAUGUGUAUGUUUGCUCAUGAGAUGUGUAUAUGUUGGCUGAGCGACGCUGUUGGCAGUGCCGGUUGUGGCGCCUCGCCUCGGGAGCCCUUUGACGUGGUGCGCACCUGCGUCCCCGCCUUGGCCGCCUCGCGUUGGACGGGAGGGGAUAAGUCAAUCCCUAAUUAAGAUAUCCAAUGAAACUGGCAACAUCAUUACGGAAUGGAAAUGAUUGGAUGACAAAUUGUAUAGAUUUAGUAUCGUAUCAUUUAUUUGUGACUACAUGAUCUUAACUGUGCGUCUCUGAAUAUUUUAUGCCCUUGUUCUUGGAAGAUUAGACUGAUGUGGUGUUGCUUUAUUAAUAAAUGACAUGCUUACUUACGGGUUUGAUUUAGAUGUGUAGGCAAAGGUGGAUACAGAAUCAUAAUCUCAGGUUUAGGCAUGCACAUGGCCACUGAUCACAAAAUAAGUUGGCACAAGUGCAGUAUUGUGAUUUUCAGCAAGAGAAAGUGAAGUACAGUUAAUUGUUCAGAUUUUAAGCUACACUUGAACCUUGUCCUAAUAAGUACUCUGUGCGUUUCUAAAUAUAAGUCUUUAUAGAGAUUCCAAAAGAAACUACAUAUGGAUCUAUAUAGACAUAGUUUGGAGUGUAGAUUCACUCAUUUUGCUUCGUAUGUAGUCCAUAUUGUAAUCUCUAAAAAUACUUAUAUUUAGGGACGGUGGUAGUAGAACGGUUGUGAUGUUGCUGUAUUAUAAGUGCCUUGCUUAAAUGCUUGGUUAGGUUGAGUGUAUAGCAAUGAGAAGCCUAGCUGAAUAAUGCUAGAAAUAACAUUAAUGUGUUAAGCUUCAGAUAAGCCAAAUAUUCUGUGACAAGCUUUGGAAAUUGCCUGGGCUGGGAAAAAGCAAUAGACCCAAAGUGGUCGGACCCUUCCCUGGACCCUGCGCAAGCGGGAGCUACAUGCACCAGGUUGCCCUGUAGCUAUCUUGUGUUGCAUGCAGGCAAUGCUUGUGUAUAGGUAUGCCACAUCUGCUAUCUGACACUCGGCCCCAGUUUUUAUAACAAUUAGAAUUUGUGAUUGUAAUCGAUUCAUUGUGUUACAAUAUCCUUUGCAUAUUAGCCUCUCCUUACCGGCAUUUGGUAAAAGUUGUGAUCCAGGAGAAGAGAAUGACGGUCUUAUAGCUCUGUCCUUCUUGCUCCCCACUUGGUAUAACAUUCAAUGGUAGUGAUAGCUUUGGGUGUGACUCUGCACCCUUUCAUGUAAUUGUGUUCCUCGAACGAUAUUUAUAAUUGUGAUACUCAGUUUAUGGGAAACAAAUGGACCAAUGGUUAAUGAUUUGGUGUUGAGAAA